rnacentral:lncRNA from 10 species
GCAGGUCCGGUCCACUGCUAGGAGAUCCAUAUCUACUCUUUGGGAGUUCUCCAGAGGAAAAAAUCAACAGGCGGGAGAAAGAUACUCUGCUAGCUUCAGAUUCAUUAGUACUAGGAAAUGGAGAGAUAGGAGGUAUAAUGUAUUAGGGAAGCAAGGGAUUCAGAACCAGGUGCCCACUGACUCUGAGAAGCACUGGGUGCACAGGUAAGAUGCUGCGAAGUCUUUAACUGGCCUCCAUGUCAAAUUAAACAGUUGUUUCAGAGAUCUCAGGAAAGAAAGCCUAAAACAAAAUAUCAUCUACUCUUUAAUGUUAUCCAACACCCAGACAGAAUCCCACCAUAAAGUGGGAACAGAUGGGCAGCUUCUAGACCUCAUUUCUCUAUGCCAGCAGAGAGGAAGCAGGGUCUGGGCACAGU